AGGUGUGGAUCUCAUCUGUCAAAAAGAUGAGAAACACAGAGCUUAGGCUGACAGCUAUGCUAUGACUAACCAAAUCCUGUGUCUUCCAGCAUUGUUUAGACUUGAAUGAUGCUGACAAGAUGCCCUUGGAGCCAUUUCUAAGAAGCUGGAUCCAAGGUUCAAAAAUGAAAAAAGAAAAUGGAGACUUUAAAGCUUAAAAAGCAACAUUGCAAUUUAAACUUAAGUUGGAGAGCUGAGAGCUCUGAAGGAAGCCAGCUGCAUGUUGUGAGACACUCAAGG